AGAAAACAGGGUAAGGGCGCUCAGGUGUGAAAGGGUACAUGUUUUCAUGAGGGUACUUAAGACAGAAGGUUCCUAACCUACCCUCCUUGAGCAGUCUAGAAAAAGAUUUUAGUAGCAAAGGAGGAGUGCCCCACACUGCAGGCCUGCAGCCUCCCCAGCCCUCAGGAGCCGCCCGAUGGAAGGUGCUGGAAGCUGGCCGGGCUCUGUGGUGAGGCAGUGCCGUGUGCACGGCCCUCACAGGGACGAGACGGAGGGCAAGGCGCUGUUCUCCGUGAGGUGCUCUUCAGGACAUGGGCAUGAAGAAAGUCCUUCUGAGCUGCUGGUCUCACAGAAAUCUGAAUUUUCCAGCUCAUAUUCCAUGAAGAGCUUUGAUUAAAAGAAAAAGAUACAACGUGCACCACAAACUGUUUCCCGCUGCUUCAGUAGUUGCCUUCUUGACUGCAAACUAUUCUCAAGAACUACAUGAGAACUGAUAUGCUGUAACACCGACAUCUCCACGCCUGCCCAGUCUGGGAGCACAGUGCUAACCUGCAGAGCCACAAAACCAAGGCCUUCUUUCAUGGUGCUGUCAACUUCUGCUGGUAGGUUCCACUCAGUUUCAACAUAAAGCAAAAUCACGCACUCGAAAGUGGAAGUUAUUACCUCAUACUGGUGUAAUUCAACAGGAAGCCAGAAAACUUCCUUCAAGGUAGAGGAUUUGGCGUGUGAACUCCAGACACGGACUGCAUGCUCAACUUGCUGCUGCUGCUCCACCCAGCAUGUGCAUGUGAAGCCGACCAUAUCUAAAGCUAUGGCAAGGAAACUACAUGGGUGUGGUCCCAGCUAAGCCCAGCCACGUCUCUGCAGGGUGCUGACUGCUCCGGGAGGAGGAAAGCAUGAAACAGGAACAACAGUUCUGUGUCCUUUGCAUGAGUAACAGAUGUGUUGAAAGAGCUGCAAGAGACCAAGGGAACCCUUAUCUCAUCUGCAUAUGGUGUUCACAAAGGGCCUGCUGGAAGAUCCAAGUCCAGUCUGCACUCAUGAAGCACCUGCUCUGCAGGAAUCCCGAGGUCUUUUUCUGUGAACUUUCCCUCUAGAUAGGUGGAUCCCUUCCCUAUACCAUCACAUGGACUAACUCUGUUUCAGAGGAAUUCAUCUUAGCCCCAGAUCCUGCAAGCUGAGAUAUUUAUACAGCCUAAACCCAGAGUCUCUGAGGAGCAACUAGGAUUACCAAACCAUUAAAUUUUGGAUGAGCAGGCCUAUUAAACACAGAAUAGAGACUGAACCCAAAACUCGAAGCUGAUGGUGUUUUCUGAAAUGGCCACGUACCAGCUGCAGUGCUGUUGGUAUGUGUUCUGCUGUUGGUUUGAAGGGAGUAGGAUGUGACCUGUGGUACCGUUCAUGGUAGGGCAUUGCAAGCAUGCUACCAUUUAGGGAUCUACUCAUUCUCUAAUAUGCACCCUGAAAAUGCUGCAACACUGUUUAUUGUCUUUAUUAAGGUUGUGCCUGGUUUAUGCUAAUUUUGAUAGAGGAAAGACCAUGUUCUGUAUCACUUAUGCAUAUUUAUGCAUAAGGCACUAUUUUCGGGAUGCAUCAGGACCCUAGGUGCCCCAAGAGGCUCCGAUUGCCCCAAGCAGCCGUGUCUGGGGGUGGCACCCUCUGCCCCUGGCUGGACCCUGCAUUUGUGCCCCAGCGUUUGCCCUUCCACCUGAGCCGUGCAGUGCCUGUGCUCGGCUGGCUGCAUGUCCUCAUCCCUGCCUUGGCUCCCAGCUGGGCCUCAGCCCUGCUCCCCACUGCACCUGGGUCUGGAGGCCUCAGGGCCCUGGCCAGCCCUGGUCGCUGUCCCAGCUCUGGAUUUCUUGCCCGGUGGGUGCCCGCUGCUGCUCCAGCCUCCCUGCCCCACAGGACACCCCCACACACACACACCCAGGACCCCUGAGGGUUUGCUGGAUGCUGAUGGGCUUGUUCUGUAUUUUCUCUACACGUUCACACAGAAUGAAAGUAUCUGUAUUUUGGUACCUGAAUAGAAACUGGGUCAUUCUGGGCUUCUGCGUUUUUUGUUCCCUGUGCUAUGAAUAAUUCUUAAUCAGGACAUGGCUCGCAGUAGAGCAAGGAGGGAGAAGCUGGAAACAGAGCUCUUUUGGCUUCAGAUAGUACUGUUAAAUGCCUGGGUGUUUGGAAAUGAACAUUUGGCUUGUGCAUUGUCUCAUUGUUCUUCCUUGUAACCAGUCUCUCUCCUCCCCUCUUGGAAUAAUUUAAAUUUUUUUAUUUUUGUUUUUCCAUCCAGUUUUCUUUCUCCUUUUUUUUUUAAAAAAAUUAUUUAUUUAUUUAUUUUUAAUGAGAGCUGGUGCAGUAUAUCUUAAAAUACUUGAAGCAAUGAUGAAUCCCACUUUAAAGAACUCACAGGGGUCUCCCUCAGGGGGCCCAGCUGCUUGUGAAAGGCACAGAGCCUCUAAGCAGAUGUUGCUGCUCCUCCAGCAAUAUGCAUUAAUAUCAGGAAAUGUAUUCCCUUCUGGUUUCCUCCUUAAGGCAACUGUUAGUGAGUAAGGUGCCUUUGCCCUGUGAGCUGGUCAAUUUGCUAAUCUGAGCUGAUUAGAUGACAAACACAUGUGCAGUGUUGCAUUCGGGAGUAAUAUGGCCCAGCUGGGUAUGAUGCACUUUUCAUCUAAGCAGGGCUUAGCCUGAAAUCUUAUUUGUCUUGUAUUUUAAUGCGGUGUCACCAAGAUAAUUACAGAGCAGAUCGUUUCCUGCUUGGCUUGAGGUGAGCAAACAGUAACAGUCUUUAUUAACCAAACCCAAGAGGUGAAUGCUGACACAAGGGAAGCUGAAUGGACUCAAUCAACACACAAGGAGAAGAUGGGUGCAGCUGUGAGAGACCUGCAGUCUGCUGCUGAAGGACUGGAUGAAAUCAACAUCGUUAAGGGGCUGAUCUCUGCAAAAGCUUCAUAGACUCUGCAAUGUAAGGAGGUUGUGCAGAUGGAAGGUGUUUUAUAUGUACCUCACAAUAAUUUUUUUGGUAAAACAAGCAGCCUCUUGUUACUCCUUCAUGAAAUAAAAAUGUGCUGGUGCCUGUUAUCCAUUUUUGACCUUAA